UACAGAGACCUCAAGCGUUAUCCGGAAUCAUUGGGCGUAAAGCGUACCGAUAGGUGGUUUUACAAGUCAGAUGUGAAAUCUCUCAGCUUAACUGGGAGACUGUCUUUUGAAACUGUAAAACUAGAAGGGCAAAGAGGAAGCUGGAACAAACGGUGUAGUAGUGAAAUGCGUUGAUAUCGUUUGGAACACCAAUAGCGUAGGCAGGCUUCUGGGUGCCACUUGACACUGCUAGGACGAAAGCGUGGGUAGCGAAUGGG
rnacentral:rRNA from 1 species